rnacentral:SRP_RNA from 1 species
UGUGCGGGUGCGUUGAGGCAAAGUAUUGUGAACCGUGUCAGGCGGGGAACCGAGCAGCACUAAGCGUAUAUGAUGCGCUCGACGACCUCCCGCAUACCC